rnacentral:misc_RNA from 1 species
AAACUUUUAACCAUUUUAACCGAUUGGCCCACCAAAUCACUUGAUGACUGUUGUGUUACUGUUUCUCUUGUUGCAGGCAAUCCGUAGGAGAAGAAACAAAAUUCACAGCUUUUCGUUGGACAAUUUUAAAUCUCGAGUAAAUAACAAUAUUGUAAUGCUAAUGAUAAAAGCAUUUGAAAAAUUGCACAUCAUGGUGGACUCUCCUUUCCGAAUAAAACAGUCUCUUAUUCCAAAUUAUUACCCCAAUGCCUUUUUUG